UCUCCGGAGACAAGGGUGGUCGCUGAUUCUGGAUGAGGCCCCAAAUGAAAAACCCCCAGAGAGGGGAGACCCUCACUCAAGUCUCAGGAUGAUGAGACCCCCCCAAGAACUCAUGAGAGACC
rnacentral:pre_miRNA from 14 species